CCUACGGUGGGGCUGCAGUGGGGAAUAUUGGACAAUGGGCGAAAGCCUGAUCCAGCCAUGCCGCGUGUGUGAAGAAGGCCUUCGGGUUGUAAAGCACUUUCAGUGGGGAAGAAAGCCUUGGGGCUAAUACCCUCGAGGAAGGACAUCACCCACAGAAGAAGCACCGGCUAACUCCGUGCCAGCAGCCGCGGUAAUACGGAGGGUGCGAGCGUUAAUCGGAAUUACUGGGCGUAAAGCGCGCGUAGGCGGUCUGAUAAGCCGGUUGUGAAAGCCCCGGGCUCAACCUGGGAACGGCAUCCGGAACUGUCAGGCUAGAGUGCAGGAGAGGAAGGUAGAAUUCCCGGUGUAGCGGUGAAAUGCGUAGAGAUCGGGAGGAAUACCAGUGGCGAAGGCGGCCUUCUGGACUGACACUGACGCUGAGGUGCGAAAGCGUGGGUAGCAAACAGGACUAGAUACCCGAGUAGUC
rnacentral:rRNA from 1 species